rnacentral:rRNA from 1 species
UACGUAGGGUGCAAGCGUUGUCCGGAAUUAUUGGGCGUAAAGAGCUCGUAGGCGGUUUGUCGCGUCGGCUGUGAAAACUCGGGGCUCAACCCCGAGCCUGCAGUCGAUACGGGCAAACUAGAGUGUGGUAGGGGAGACUGGAAUUCCUGGUGUAGCGGUGAAAUGCGCAGAUAUCAGGAGGAACACCGGUGGCGAAGGCGGUUCUCUGGGCCAGUACUGACGCUGAGGAGCGAAAGCGUGGGUAGCAAACAGG